AUUGAGAAAUAUAUAGUAGCAGGUUUGUAAUGUUAAAAAGGAUCAAUAUUUUGUAUUCAUUUGCAUUAAAUUCAUUCACAUUUCCCCUUUGCUUAAAGUAUACUUUAUAUCUGACAAAUACAGUUGUCCUUCUAGGAUAGGCUUACACCAGAGAUAGGGAUUUGUUAAACUAGUAAUGUUGGCGGGCACUUUGGAAUUAGGAAGUCAAACAAUGACGAUAAAGUUUUAUUGAAUUCUCUUCUGAUCUUCACUAAUUUUUCCUUCUCAAAUAUACUUUGUAUCUGUCUAAUACAGUUGUUCUUCUUGAUAGGCUCACACCAGAGAUAGUGAUUUGUUAAACUAGUGAUGAUGGUCAGCACUUUGGAAUUAGGAAGUAAAAUAGUGAAGAAUCAAGUUUUAUUGAAUUCUUUUUUUCCAGCUAAUUUUUCCUUCUCAUUUUAAAUGUGCAGGAAUGCACUUCUGUCUGAUACUUAUUGAUCUUUCCACUAUACAGGUGCAGCGAUGGAGGUAAACA
rnacentral:misc_RNA from 1 species